GACGAACGCUGGCGGCGUGCUUAACACAUGCAAGUCGAACGGAAAGGCCCUGCUUUUGUGGGGUUCUCGAGUGGCGAACGGGUGAGUAACACGUGAGUAACCUGCCCUUGACUUUGGGAUAACUUCAGGAAACUGGGGCUAAUACCGGAUAGGAGCUCCUGCUGCAUGGUGGGGGUUGGAAAGUUUCGGCGGUUGGGGAUGGACUCGCGGCUUAUCAGCUUGUUUGUGGGGUAGUGGCUUACCAAGGCUUUGACGGGUAGCCGGCCUGAGAGGGUGGCCGGCCUCAAUGGGACUGAGAUACGGCCCAGACUCCUACGGGAGGCAGCAGUGGGGAGUAUUGCACAAUGGGCGGAAGCCUGAUGCAGCAACGCCGCGUGCGGGAUGACGGCCUUCGGGUUGUAAACCGCUUUCGCCUGUGACGAAGCGUGAGUGACGGUAAUGGGUAAAGAAGCCCCGGCUAACUACGUG
rnacentral:rRNA from 1 species